rnacentral:rRNA from 1 species
AGUGAACGCUGGCGGCAGGCCUAAUACAUGCAAGUCGAACGGACGGACAGUAAGCGUUUGCUCUUACGGGUGGCGAGUGGCGGAUGGGUGAGGCGUAGAUAGGCAUCUUCUUUUUUGUGGGGGACUACGUAGGGCCGGUUCUGCUACUACCGCAUAUGAUGUACGGGUGAAUGCAGGGGAUAUUCGCAGCUUUCGUGUCUGUAAGAGACGAUGCCGGACUGGCUAGUUGGGGGGGUAAGGGCCCACCAAGGCGACGAUACGUAGCUGGUCUGAGAGGAUGAUCGGCCACACUGGAACUGAGACACGGUCCAGACUCCUACGGGAGGCAGCAGUAGGGAAUAUUGGGCAAUGGGCGAAAGCCUGAUCCAGCCAUGCCGCGUGGGUGAAGAAGGCCUUCGGAUUGUAAAGCCCUUUUAUUAGGGAAGAAAAGCAGCAGAUUAAUACCCCGCUGUUCUGACGGUACCCAAUGAGAAAGCACCGGCUAACUUCGUG